rnacentral:piRNA from 1 species
UNGAUGGUACCCUGUAUGAUGAUGAUGAUGU